UCGAAUGAUGUCGAAAAGUGUGUAUAUAUGCAUACAUGUUUUUGUAUGUUGCUAUUAUAUAUAUAUAUAUAUAUAUAAUAUGACUCAUUAUAAAACUAAUAUCUGCGAAUUCUUAUUUUGUUGCUCUUUAUUAUUAUUUUUUAUUUUAGAGGCUUAAAUUUUUUAAAUGGAAACGAAAAAAAAAAAUUCAUUAAAACAGUAUGAUGGUUAAAACAGACUAAAAAUAUAAAAAUAUAUAACUUAAAAAAAAAAAAAAAACAUGCAAUACUAAAUUUGUACACAUAUAUAUUCUGUGUUUAUAAUACGCACAUACAUGAUAGCAUUAAAGCAUUCAUAUGCUAUUUUUUUUUUUUUUUUUUUUUUUUUUUUUUUUCUAAGAUAUCAGUUUAGAACUUCUUAUAUGCAAUGUGUUGUUGUCUAAUAUUUCUGAUUAUACAAGAGGGGAAGAAGAUAAACAUGAACAAAUAAAAACUCUUAAUAAAAUAAAUAAUAUUUUUUGUUCGUAUAGUUUUGAAUUAUGCGAUAAUGAAACUGAAAAUAACUUAUAUAAAAAAUUUUAUAAUAUAUGUUAUUUUAAGGAAUAUGAGUUAUUAAGUCAAGUGUUAAAUCAAUUAAUAGACUUGAAUGAAAAUUUUAGUAUAAUUAUAUCUUACAAUGCUUUUGAAUUUUUUCACAUAUGGAAGUUAUUUUACCCAGGUUUUAAAAAAAAAAAAAAAAACGCAUUAUAAAAUGAUAAAAAAAUAUCACCGUAUGCGUAUAUAUGUAUACAAUUUAUAUGUGUUGUAGCACUUUUAUG
rnacentral:lncRNA from 1 species